rnacentral:rRNA from 1 species
UACGGAGGGGGCUAGCGUUGCUCGGAAUUACUGGGCGUAAAGGGCGCGUAGGCGGGAUGGCAAGUCGGUCGUGAAAUCCCUCGGCUCAACCGAGGAACGUCGAUCGAUACUGCUGUUCUUGAGGAUUGCAGAGGAGACUGGAAUUCCCGGUGUAGCGGUGAAAUGUGUAGAGAUCGGGAGGAACACCGGUGGCGAAGGCGGGUCUCUGGGCAAUUCCUGACGCUGAGGCGCGAAAGCGUGGGGAGCAAACGGG